rnacentral:rRNA from 1 species
CACGUAGGGGGCGAGCGUUGUUCGGAAUUACUGGGCGUAAAGGGCAUGUAGGCGGUCUGGUAAGCCUGGCGUGAAAGACUGCAGCUUAACUGCAGGGAUGCGCUGGGAACUGCUGGGCUUGAGUGACGGAGAGGGAGCUGGAAUUCCUGGUGUAGGGGUGAAAUCUGUAGAUAUCAGGAAGAACACCGAUGGCGAAGGCAAGCUCCUGGCCGAUGACUGACGCUGAGGUGCGAAAGUGUGGGGAUCAAACAGG